GGGACGUUCAGCUCCCGCCCUGGGCCGGAGGAAGCCCUCACAGGUUCAUUAGCUUAAACAGGCAGGCACUGGAGAGCGAUUAUGUUAGCACCCACCUCCAUCACUGGAUAGAUCUCAUCUUCGGUCACAAGCAGCACGGCCCAGCAGCUGUGAAGGCGGUCAAUGUCUUCCACCCGUAUUUCUACGGUGACCAGGUGCGCCUGGACAGCAUCAGUGACCCUCUCACCAAAAACACCAUCUUGGGAUUCGGCAGCAACUUUGGACAAAUCCCAAAGCAGCUCUUUUCCAAACCGCACCCGGCCCGCAGUGCCCUGGGGAAGCAUCCGGUGGGCAGAGACGGCCUCCACUUCUCUGUCCCUGCCGGCCUGUUGCCUCCGUCCCUCAGCA